rnacentral:rRNA from 1 species
UACAGAGGGGGCAAGCGUUGUUCGGAAUUACUGGGCGUAAAGGGCGCGUAGGCGGCCUGUUAAGUCGAACGUGAAAUCCCCGGGCUCAACCUGGGACACCACCCGAUACUGCUCUAGCUAGAGUCCGGUAGGGGAGCAUGGAAUUCCUGGUGUAGCGGUGAAAUGCGCAGAUAUCAGGAGGAACACCAGCGGCGAAGGCGGUGCUCUGGGCCGGAACUGGCACUGAGGAGCGAAAGCGUGGGUAGCAAACAGG